rnacentral:rRNA from 1 species
AAAGGUUCCGCGGGCGGUUCAGUAAAGUCAGAGGUGAAAGUUUUGGGGGCUCAACCCGUAAAAAUUGCCUUUUGAUACUGGCUGGUUCUUGAGUUUACAGUGAAAGUGGCCCGGAAUAUGUGGGGUAGCGGUGAAAUGCAUAGAGAUCACAUAGAACACCGAUUGCGAAGGGCAGGUCACUAACUGUAUACUGACACUGAUGGACGAAAGCGUGGGGAGCGAACGGGAUUAGAUACCCCGGUAGUCCACGCCGUAAACGAUGGACACUAGCUGUCGGGACGUAAGUUUCGGCGGCCAAGCGAAAGUGAUAAGUGUCCCCACCUGGGGAGUACGUCGGCAACGAUGAAACUCAAAGGAAUUGACGGGGGCCCGCACAAGCGGUGGAGCAUGUGGUUUAAUUCGAUGAUACGCGAGGAACCUUACCAGGGCUUAAAUGGGGAGUGACAGGGGCAGAGACGCCCUUUUCUUCGGACACUCUUCAAGGUGCUGCAUGGUUGUCGUCAGCUCGUGCCGUGAGGUGUCAGGUUAAGUCCUAUAACGAGCGCAACCCCUACCGUUAGUUGCCAGCAUGUAAAGAUGGGGACUCUAACGGAACUGCCGGUGCAAACCGUGAGGAAGGUGGGGAUGACGUCAAAUCAUCACGGCCCUUACGUCCCUGG